GAUGAACGCUAGCGGCAGGCUUAAUAUAUGCAAGUCGUGGGGCAGCAUGAAGUAGCAAUACUUUGAUGGCGACCGGCAAACGGGUGCGGAACACGUACACAACCUUCCUUUUAGUGGAGAAUAGCCCAGAGAAAUUUGGAUUAAUACCCCGUAACAUAGCGAUGAGGCAUCUCAUUGCUAUUAUAGCUUCGGCGCUAGAUGAUGGGUGUGCGUAUGAUUAGAUAGUUGGCAAGGUAACGGCUCAUCAAGUCUACGAUCAUUAGCUGAUGUGAGAGCAUGAUCAGCCACACGGGCACUGAGACACGGGCCCGACUCCUACGGGAGGCAGCAGUAAGGAAUAUUGGUCAAUGGACGAAAGUCUGAACCAGCCAUGCCGCGUGAAGGAUUAAGGUCCUCUGGAUUGUAAACUUCUUUUAUAUGGGACGAAAAAAGGUCUUUCUAGAUCACUUGACGGUACCAUAUGAAUAAGCACCGGCUAACUCCGUGCCAGCCGCCGCAGUAACAC
rnacentral:rRNA from 1 species